UUGAAGUUUUUAAGACAAUAAUUCCAUAAUAAUAGCUUUAAAUAGCAUGGUGCUUUUGAGAGAAUUUCAUCCCAAAAAUGCAUUUGUGAUGUAAUGAGUUUUUACUUUCUUUUGGUUUUUAAGGUACAUUUCAAUUUUAGUUACACCUGAUACAGUCAUUAUAACCAAUGCUCUACUCAAAAUGUUAAUGCACAAGGAAACAGACAACUAGAAAUUACUGAUAUAUUGGAAAAGACUUACUGGAGUACUCAGAGCGAGAAAAGCAACGGUGAGAGCAUAUAUACGUACAUAAGAAGUGGAUACAGCAGAGCCGAGUACAAAGACGACUACUGCAGACUACACAAGAGUGCUUGAUGCUGAAGUUGUCAACACCAGAGCAAAAGGCAUACACAAGUGUUAUAAGUGUUAUAAGCAUUAUAAGCAUAAUUUCUAUCACUCGCCAGUGAGGGUGCACAUGGAAAGUGCAAAAGAAAACAUAACUGAGGCAUGAAGUAGAGUGAAAAAAAUGUGAAGCAGCCUAUGCAGAAAGUAGAGAAAUCUAUUAUUUUGUUCACAGAAAAGCUUCAAAGACCAUUCUAUACCAAUAACAUUAUUGCCUAAAUGUCUUGUAAUGAGAGGCAACAGCCUGAUUUCAAAAAUGUUGAGUUCUUAACUGAAAAGACAAACCAAAUGCCAGUAUAAUGUAAGCAUCAGCUUAUAGGCCUGCACAGUUUAUCACACGAUAGACACUGCAAUACCAACAAAUGACCAGAAAACCUACCUGAAUAUUAACUUGUUAUACAUACUGACAUGCCCUGGGUUCAAAGACAUUAAUAUACUAACAACCUGUCAAUUCAUCAGAUGAAGACAAAUCCAUGUGAUCCUUUUGUUGAACUUAAGUGUUUGACACACUAUCAUAGACUUCAGCAAGGUCUGCAGAUGUUCAGUAUUCUAUAACAGAGAGAUACAAGAGGCUAUGCACUUGAAAGGAACUUUGGUUACAUUUGAGAGAUUCCCAACAGGCUGUGGAAAGCAGCUAAGGCCCCAGACAAGUAUGCUAAGACCAUCUUCUCCAAGAGUUUUAGAGAAACAAGACUGUAAAUUAACUAAUUACAAAAGGUCUUAGCAGACUGAAGGAGGAUGCAAUAUAUGACAUUUGGAAAUCGUUUUAUCCUGCAACUUUGGCAUAUAUAAAUUUUUAUGCACACAGAUCAUACUUCUGCUCAUUUUAAGUGCAGCUAGCAUGAAAUCACACCAUAUUUCAUAAGUGCUUUAAGUGCAGAAACACAACCACUACAAUAGAAACCACGAGAAAAAAAUCUUAAUAGCAGUACUUACAUUUGGAUUGGCUUCUGCAACGUGAAUAGACAAAAAUCAUGCAAAGAUAGAUCUAGAAAAUAAUCAUCAGCUCCUGAUGAGUCCAACAAAGACAUUUAAAUAGACUUAAGAGAUCUGUAGACUUCAGGGUUUUUUUCUGUUGUUCUGGUUUUUAAAAC